GCCCCGCCCCGCCCCGCCCAGGUCCGGUGGCCGCAGCCCCUCCCGCCUCUGGCUCGGCCCUUCCCACCGAGUCGGCCGGCCUUGACUUCCCGCCAUCCUCCCCGUUUCCUCCCAGCAGUCCUGGGGUCUUUCCAGUCAGUCAUCUUCGGCUGCUUUCGUCCCGGAGUAAGUGGAGGCCUCGCCCUUCCGGUUGUCCCCUGGUUUCCGUCCUUCUCGAGCCCUCUGCUUUGGGAGACCCCUUCCCCGGUGGUCGGGGCCGAGGUUCCUUAACCCCAGGCCGGCUGCCGCAGAAUGAGGGCUCUUCUUGCUUUGGCCUCGAUUUAAACAGAAGCUGCCUGGCCUUAUGUCUCCCUGGGGCGGCUCCUUGCAAACCUUCCCUCGUGAAGCACACUAUUACUCGGCACAGCAUGCGGAGCAGGAGGAAUUAGAAGCUCGCCGUCCAGUGGCAGCACGGAGUCUUAACCCCUGGACCACCAGAGAAGUCCAGAAUCCUGUUUUCAUAAUCUGUCAAAACGGAGCGAAAUACCCACCUUUCAGGAUCGUUGUGGGACCCUGUGGAAAACACCCCCGUCUAGUGAACACCCAAGACUGCCACAGUCCCUCAAAGAAACUGGAUGUUCUGCGAGCAUAUACUCCCCAUACGGUAGAUGAAGGCCAGGAGAUCACAGAGAUGAAGCGUGAAGCCCAGGCAGGCGAAGACUCGGGAACCCGGUGUGCCGACUCAGCUGAGGACAGCAGUGAAGGCUCUGCUCUGAGGCAUGUGGGAUCUUAGCUCCCCAGCCAGAAAUCGAACCUGCACCCACUGCAUUGGAAGGCGAAGUCUUAACCACUGGACUGCCAGGCAAGUCCCUUAAAUUUUUAAUAAUGACUACUUAAUAACUGAUUUACAAAAUUCUUAAAAAUACAACAAUCAGCUCUUGCAAGCCAGAAAGAGCUGGUUCCAGUUAUCACUGUGUGGGAGCUUGUGAGAGAUGCAAAAUCUUGGGCCCCACCCCAGACCUACUAAAUCAGACUACCAAUAUUAACACUUUUAACAAUGUCCUCAGGUAAUUUGUAUACAUGUUAGAGUUUGAGAAAUGUGGCCCUAGAGGUAACCACUGUUUCUGAUUUUGUUUAUGUCUUUUAGACCUUUUUCACAACACAGAUGCAUAUAUUUUGAAAUGAUUUUUUUCUGGCUUUUUCUUUGCACAAUUUAAAAUAGAUCUUAUUUUUAAGAGCAGUUUUAGGUCCACAGCAAAAUCGAGCAGAAGGUACGGAGGUUUCCCGUAUACCCCCUGACCCCACACAUGCACGGCCUCCCCCAAUAACAGCAUCCUCAGCAGAGGGUACUUUUGUUACAAUUAAUGAAUCUACAUUGACACAUCAGUAUCACCCAGAGUCCCCAAUUUACAUUAGGGUUCAUUUGGUGUUGUACAUUCUAUGGGUUUCAGCAGUGUGGAGUCUUAACACUGGUCGGCCAGGGAAGUCCCUAGAUUUUCAAAUAUUGAUCUUAUAUUUGGUUACCUUGCCAAUGUUUCUAUUAAUUUUUAAUAUUUUGUCUGUAGAUACUUUGGGGACAAUUGUAUGUUAUUAAUGAUAGUUUUUUUUUUAUUUCUGAUCUUUAUGACUCUAAUUUAUUUUUCUUGUCUUGUUGUAUUUGCCAAUGUGAUUUAAACAGAAGUGGUAAGAUUGGGCAUCCUUAUCUUAUUUUUUAUUUGAAGGGGACUGAUGUUACAUUCUUACGUUUCCUCAUUAGAAUAGGUUUUUAGAAAAAUUGAAAUACAGUUGAUUUACAAUGUUAUAUUAGUUUCAGGUGUACAGUAUAGUGAUUUGGUAUUUUUAUAGAUUGUAAUCCACUUAAAGUUAUCAUAGAAUAUUGAUUAUAUUUCCUGUGCUGUAUAUUAAAUCAUUCUAUCUUGUUUAUUUUAUACCUAGUAGUUUGUACCUCUUAAUCUCCCUCUAUCUUGCCCUUUCCCCCACCCUUCUCCCCACUGGUAAUCACUAGUUUGUUCUUUGUAUCUGUGAGUCUCUUUCUGUUUUGUUGUAUUCAUUCGUUUUAUUUUUUAAAUUCCAAGUGAAAACGUCCAGUAUUUGUCUUUUUCUGACUUCACUAAGCAUAAUGCACUCCAGGUCCAUCCAUGUUGUUGCAAAUGGUAUCCCAUACGUUUCUGUCAGUUAAUCUUAGUAGGUUAGGGCUUCCCUGGUGGUGCAGUGGUUAAGAAUAUGCCUGCCAAUGCAGGGGACAUGGGUUCGAUCCCUGGUCCGGGAAGAUCCCACAUGCCGUGGAGUAACUAAGCCUGUGCACUACAACUACUGAGCCUGCGCUCUAGAGCCUGAGAGCCACAGCUGCUGAGCCCGCAAGCCACAACUACUGAAGGCCGCACGCCUAGAGCCCUUGCUUCACAACAAGAGAAGCUACUGCGAUGAGAAGCCCGCGCACUGCAAUGAAGAGUAGCCCCCGCUAUCUGCAACUAGAGAAAGCCCACGCGCAGCAAGGAAGACCCAACUCAGCCAAAAUAAGUAAAUAGAUUAAAAAAAAAUCUUAGUAGGUUAAAGUAUUUUCUUCUAUUCCCAGAGUUUUUAUGAACGAGAAAAUUUGUCAAAUGGUUUUUCUGCAUCAGUUGAGAUGCUCAAAUUUUCAUCCUUUAAUCCGUUAGGGUGGUAUGUGAUAAUGAUAGAUUUUCAAAUUUAUUUGAAACUUAUUGAUAGACCACUCAAAUUUCUGGAAUAAAUAAAACUUGGUCAGAAUAUAUCUUCUUUGUAAUAUACUGUUGUAUUCAGUUGCUAACAUUUUGUUUAGGACUUUUUACUUUUACUUGUUACUCUAUCUUCAUGAGUAAGUCUGGCCAGGGAUUUUUUUUUCUCUCAUAUUGUUCAUGUCUGGUUUUGGCAUCAAGGUUACAUUAGAUUUAUAGUCUCAAUCAGGGAUAAUUUUCUUUGUGGCAGAAUCUGUUGCUGAUUCUCUAAUAGUUAUUCUGACCCUCUUUCUUUAGCAACAGAACUCCAAUUUUUAGCUGGACACAUAGCUAAAGAUUAUUUUUCCCAGCCUCUCUCAUAGUCCUUCAUGUGAUUAAAUUUUGGCCCGUAUCCCCUCAUCAGCACCAUAGUAAGUGAACUCUUUAUAGACCCAAAUCCUGAGAUUUAUGAUUCCUACUUUGAGAAAUAGGUCCCUGAGGCGUUUAUUUCUAAUCGUGACUAGUUUCAUUAAAACUAAAAAUAUGAUCUAGUAUGUAGACUUCAUAUAUAUUUAUAUUUAUACAUUUGGGUAGGAUUAGAGAAAUAUUUUCAUUGCUUCUUGAUCUAGACUUGCAGCUUCUCUAGAUAACUUAAGUGGAAAGAAUAUCAAUUAUUGAAGUCAUUAAACUGGCCACUAUUUGCAUGAAAGAAUGUCAGUUAUAAACCAUUUUCAGCUUUUAAAAAGAUCUUUAAAGAAUUUGUCUUCAGUUGUAAGAAAGCUUUCUCCUAAACAUGUGAACAAAUGCAACUUUCAUAUUAAACUGAAAAUAUUCCAAAUUUUACAUGCAUUGUAGCCAGAACCACAGAGAGAAGCUAACCAAAUGCAGAGGAAUAUUUUUCAGUUUCUACAAAGAAAUAUGGCCUCUUGUUUUUCUUGAAACUCAGCUCUCUUGGAGUGUCUGAUUUUUUUCCACGUUUGAUAGAGAAGUGGCUACAAAGAAAUGUUUCUGUGCUCUAAAAAAAAUGAUUAAGGCGGGGCUUCCCUGGUGGCCCAGUGGUUGAGAGUCCGCCUGCUGAUGCAGGGGACACGGGUUCGUGCCCCGGUCCGGG